rnacentral:rRNA from 1 species
CCUACGGGUGGCAGCAGUGGGGAAUAUUGGACAAUGGGGGGAACCCUGAUCCAGCGACGCCGCGUGAGUGAAGAAGUAUUUCGGUAUGUAAAGCUCUAUCAGCAGGGAAGAAAGAAAUGACGGUACCUGACUAAGAAGCCCCGGCUAACUACGUGCCAGCAGCCGCGGUAAUACGUAGGGGGCAAGCGUUAUCCGGAUUUACUGGGUGUAAAGGGAGCGUAGGCGGCGAGGGAAGUCUGAAGUGAAAGGCGGGGGCUCAACGACUGGACUGCUUUGGAAACUGUAUGGCUAGAGUGCAGGAGAGGAAAGUGGAAUGCCUAGUGUAGCGGUGAAAUGCGUAGAUAUUAGGAAGAACACCAGUGGCGAAGGCGGCUUACUGGACUGUAACUGACGUUGAGGCUCGAAAGCGUGGGGAGCAAACAGGAUUAGAUACCCUAGUAGUC